rnacentral:rRNA from 1 species
AAGGAUGAACCAAGCGAGAUAGAACAGAUGAUCGAUGCCAUUAGAACCACACUAGGGUCUUUGGGUGAUGAUGAGACGUCAAUGAAUGUUUCAGCCUAUGAUACGGCGUUGGUUGCUCUUGUCAAGAACCUUGACGGAGGCGAUGGACCGCAAUUCCCCUCGUGCAUCGAUUGGAUUGUUCAAAAUCAACUACCAGAUGGUUCGUGGGGUGAUCCCGCUUUCUUUAUGGUCCAAGAUCGGAUGAUCAGCACCCUCGCAUGUGUGGUGGCUGCGAAGUCUUGGAACAUUGGAAAUGACAACUUGUGCAACAGAGGUGUGUUAUUUAUCAAAGAAAAUAUGAGCAGGUUGCUAGAAGAGGAACAGGACUGGAUGCCAUGUGGCUUCGAGAUUAACUUCCCAGCACUCCUAGAGAAGGCGAAGGACCUGGACUUGGACAUCCAUUACAAUCACACUGUUUUGGAAGAGAUAUAUGCCAAGAGGAAUCUGAAGCUCUCUAAGAUACCUCUGGAUGUGCUACACGCCAUACCAACGACCCUACUUUUCAGUUUGGAGGGAAUGGUUGACUUACCAUUGGACUGGGAAAAGCUACUCACGUUGCGUUGUCCAGACGGAUCCUUCCAUUCCUCGCCUGCUGCCACAGCUGCUGCCCUUAGUUACACUGGCGACAAGGAAUGCCUAGCAUUUCUAGAUAGGCUUGUCAAAAUGUUCAAGGGGGGAGGUAAAAUCACUACCACUUAUUUUCUUGUACAACCAACAGGAAUGCACUCUUAG